GACACUCUGGCCGAGUGGUUAAGGCGACGGCCUGCUAAGCCGUUUCAUUCGUGAGCACAGGUUCGAAUCCUGUGGGUGUCG